GAUGAACGCUGGCGGCGUGCUUAACACAUGCAAGUCGAACGGAAAGGCUCCUGCUUGCAGGGGUACUCGAGUGGCGAACGGGUGAGUAACACGUGGGUGAUCUGCCCUGCACUUCGGGAUAAGCCUGGGAAACUGGGUCUAAUACCGGAUAGGACGAUGGUUUGGAUGCCAUUGUGGAAAGUUUUGCGGUGUGGGAUGAGCUCGCGGCCUAUCAGCUUGUUGGUGGGGUAAUGGCCUACCAAGGCGUCGACGGGUAGCCGGCCUGAGAGGGUGUACGGCCACAUUGGGACUGAGGGACGGACCAGACUCCUACGGGAGGCAGCAGUGGGGAAUAUUGCACAAUGGGGGCAAGCCUGAUGCAGCGGCGCCGCGUGGGGGAUGACGGCCUUCGGGUUGUAAACUCCUGUCGCUAGGGACGAAGCGCAAGUGACGGUACCUGGAGAAGAAGCACCGGCUAACUACGUG
rnacentral:rRNA from 1 species